rnacentral:lncRNA from 1 species
GCAUGUUGCACCAUAUAUCAGCCUGACACUCCAAGCAGCCGUACUCGGCACCCCUAAUGUUCAGUCGUUCGGCUAUUCCAUGUAUUUUUCCCUUUUAAGCAUUCGCAUGUUAAAUCCUACAUCAGCCUAUCCCUACCAGCGGCAGCAUUUGGCCCUGCUAACGUUUGUGGGCUUUCUACGAUCUUAUGUAUCUGCAUGUUGGCCUUUAAUCAACCUUUUCAAUAGCAGCUGCCAUUGGUCCUUCUACCGUUCACAGCCUUUACAUAUAUUCAAAUUACACAUUAAGUGACCCCAGUAUAUCGGACUGUUCGCCAAUCAUUAAAUUGUAAUUAAUCACAUCUUGCUUAAAUUUUGAAGUAGUGUCAGAUCAAUUACUUCCUCAUUUUGGAAGAUUCCACCUGACUGUUAAUUUGUCUGGCUAGUUACAGUGCAGGAUCCUCCUCUGCAAAACAUUCAAUGUUCGCAGGUGGCAUCUCCUGAAGACAUCACACCAGCCCCAUCAUGUCAGAUUUUCCAGUGAAGGGUUAGGCAACUUCUGUCCUUACAGCUUUGUUCUACAGCCUGAGCAUGAUGGGACUUGAGGAAGCCUGGCAGUAUGCAUGUCUGGUUCCUAUCUGUGUAAGGGUCCUGUGUGAGCUGUGUGGUUCCUAUCUGUGUAAGGGCCCUGUGUGAGCUGUGUGGUUCCUAUCUGUGGAAGGGCCCUGUGUGAGCUGUGUGGUUCCUAUCUGUGGAAGGGCCCUGUGUGAGCUGUGUGGUUCCUAUCUGUGGAAGGGCCCUGUGUGAGCUGUGUGGUUCCUAUCUGUGGAAGGGCCCUGUGUGAGCUGUGUGGUUCCUAUCUGUGUGAGCUGUGUGGUUCCUAUCUGUGUGAGGGUCCUGUGUGAGCUGUGUGGUUCCUAUCUGUGUAAGGGUCCUGUGUGAGCUGUGUGGUUCCUAUCUGUGUAAGGGUCCUGUGUGAGCUGUGUGGUUCCUAUCUGUGUAAGGGCCCUGUGUGAGCUGUGUGGUUCCUAUCUGUGUAAGGGCCCUGUGUGAGCUGUGUGGUUCCUAUCUGUGAAGGGCCCUGUGUGAGCUGUGUGGUUCCUAGCUGUGUGGUUCCUAUCUGUGUAAGGGCCCUGUGUGAGCUGUGUGGUUCCUAUCUGUGUAAGGGUCCUGUGUGAGCUGUGUGGUUCCUAUCUGUGUAAGGGGUCCUGUGUGGGCUGUGUGGUUCCUAUCUGUGUAAGGGCCCUGUGUGAGCUGUGUGGUUCCUAUCUGUGGAAGGGCCCUGUGUGAGCUGUGUGGGUCCUAUCUGUGUGAGGGGCCCUGUGUGAGCUGUGUGGUUCCUAUCUGUGU